GAACAAUUUCAGAAGGUCAACAACCACAGUGUCUAUUCCAUCACUUUUAUCCCCAACAGCCAUGGUCUCUGCUUCACUGUCUACUUCCACAUCUGGCUACAGGUUCAUGCUAUCACCUUGUACUAUGCCUGCACCUCCAUCCAAUCACAACCAGCACCUCUACAUGCAGCGAUGAGCAUGCCACCACCCCCAUGUAUGCUAGCACCAAGCACCAUGGCCUCUCUCCAACUUGAAAUGGACUUUUUACUGAAUUAAACAUGAGUGAUUCUAGAACAAAGGAAUAAUGCCAACAGUGUCAGUAUGAAAGACUAUCUGAAAUUUAUGCGGAAAGGAAUGCUGGCACAUUAGCUAGGAACACAGAGCCUAAUGGGAGAGGAUGUUUUAGGAGAAUCAACCGCAUGUGAUGUCUGAAGUAGCUCCGCCUUGUAUCAAGCGUUAUCAAGUGGAGGAAAAAUACUGAGACAAAGUAGUCUCUGCUUUGUCUCAGUAUAUCUAUUGGCUGGGUUGGAAUGCCAGUGAAAAGAUUUGAUGAAAUACUCAUUUGAGGGGAGGGGUGGGUAGCAGUGCCGAUUUACCAUCCAAAAAUAUAUGAAAAUCAUGUGAAAUACAUUAAACUUCCC